CCAAUGCCUACUCCAUGGCUUACCAGUAAGCCUCCAAAAUGGAAAAGCUGUGAUCAUAGCAUUGGCUGUAUUACAUAAUAUAGCCAUUGAUAUGAAUGACACAUUGUUAGAACAACAUAUGGAGCAGGUCCCUGUAACUCCGCAACUUUCGACGGAGAACAGUGUUCACGACAACCGACCUUCAUUGUUGAGGCGUAGGUCGCAGUUGAUACUACAAAAUUUUAUAAAUCAACAUUUUUGAAUGAUACUGUUCCUGGCA